rnacentral:lncRNA from 12 species
CAGGACUUGGCCUCACCUUCAGAAAUGAUCUGAGUGCUCAUUCACCAGCAGUUGAUUCCAGUGUUGGUUUUGUGUUUACCCAAAUUACCAUCCAGUCUGAUGUCCACAGGCAUCCUGUGACCAAACAGUGUUCAUGGGCACCUCUCCAGUUCAGACACACCAGCAAAGGAAACAGUUCUAAGUAGCAAUCUAUAUCUUUGAACACCUAAACAUCUUCAAAUCUGGGCUCUUGUGCCCAGAUUCCCAACAUCCCAUCAAUGCUUUCUGCUCAGUCUUGCCCAGAAGCAUCCUCAAGGACAAUCAUCUAUUGUCA